rnacentral:rRNA from 1 species
GGGUCAGUAGGUUGGUCGUGCCACCGGUACGUACUGGUCUCACUGAUUGCUCCUUCCUGAAUAACCGUAAUGCCAUUAAUUUGGUGUUGCGGGGAAACAGGACUGUUACUUUGAAAAAAUUAUAGUGUUUAAAGCAAGCUAACGCUUGAAUACAUUAGCAUGGAAUAAUGAAAUAGGACGAUCGAUCCUAUUUUGUUGGUUUCUAGGAUUGACGUA